AGGGUAAGUAUUACUGAUUUCUUCUAUGCCUCAGGCUCCAGCAUGACUCAGCAGGGUGCUGCUCCCAGCCCACAGCCUGAAGAUUCACGUGUUUACCAGAGAAGUGAAACACAUUGUGAUUAUAUAUGUGUCCAAUAAGCAGUCUGACUCCUCUGAGACUACCAUGCUGUGCAGGAAGUCUAGCCACUUCCACAUGUUCCAGCCUUCGCAGGCCAGGCAUCUGACAUGUGAGUGAAGGAGCCACCAUGGACUCAGGAGACAUGACCUGGAGAAGAAUCAAGGAAACCAGCUGACAGCCCAAACUGACACUCCGGACGUAUGGCCCCAGAGCAUUAUAUCAAAUAAACUAACAUUCUCAUCUCAACUGACUCACCUGGCGGAAAGAAAUCUACAUGCCAUGAGAAGAGAGAAGGUGAGAGAAUAGAGAGAAUAGUUCAGAAAACAUGGAAAGAGACAGGUGGAAGAGGCACUGGACUGUUUACUAGAAUAUGAGUGCCAGCACUAUCGAAUGUUCCACUUGCUAAAAAAUCCUGAUUAUAAUUUUCUGAUGCUGGAAAUGAGAUAAGAUGUUCCACAUCAAAUUAGUUAUAGUAAUUCUUAGCAUUUUUGUUCACAUAUGCCUUUGAGAAAAUGAUGAUAGUGAUAGACUCUACCCAGAAAAAAAAUGUAUGUAUUUCUUGCACAUCUAUUCUGUAAGAACUACUAAUUAUAAUAUUCAAGAUGUAAAUCUGUUAGUCACAAUACAUAUGUAAUAUAUAAUCCUGAUCGCUUGACUGCCAUUAAGUCUUUCUUAUGUCUAACCUAGUUUCAUUCUAUAGCUUAAGCCUCACUCUAUUUUUUCUGUCCUCUUAGCUUAAGAAAAGAUCAUUACAGAACUGCUUGUAUAAGUUUUUUAUAUAUGCUUGCAAAGGGCUAUGAAAUUUUAUUACGAUUAUUCUUGAAGUUGAAACUUCCCUAAUCUUUCUUUACAAAUUGUGCAUAGUGUGCUAGUUACCUUCCAAUAUUCAGUUCUCUCUUCUGCAUUAGUUACUCAGCUUUACAAUUACAUUUUUUUGAGCCUCUCUUGCAGCUAGGUAUAAUCAUGUGACUAAGCUUUAAGCUAAUAAUAUGUAAGCACCGUGCUAUGUGGAUCUUCUGAAAAAUCUCCCUUUUCUUCUUCCACCCUACUGUCUGGAAUGAAGAUAUGAUGGGUGGAGAUCAAUAGCCAUCCUGGGCCAUGAGUUUGAAGAAUGAUAGGUAACACUGUCUGUUGACUCCUCUAUUAGAAGAUAAAUUUCAUUAGAAUAGGCACCUUGUUUAUCUUGGUCAAAGCAACAUCCCUAACACCUAAAAGUAUGUGGCAUGUGGUAAGGGCUCAUGUACCAAAUGGAUAUUGAGUGAAUAAAACAGAUGGAUGAAUGAAUGAA